rnacentral:misc_RNA from 1 species
UCUCCGUAGGUGAACCUGCGGAGGGAUCAUUACAGAGUUCAUGCCCUACCGGGUCGAUCUCCCACCCUAUGUUAUUAUUAUUUUGUUGCUUUGGCGGGCCGUUAGGCUCCGGCCCGACUACCGGCCCCGGCUGGUAAGCGCCCGCCCGAGGACCCAAAACCCUGAAUAUUAGUGUCGUCUGAGUACUAUAUAAUAGUUAAAACUUUCAACAACGGAUCUCUUGGUUCUG